CCUACGGGAGGCAGCAGUGAGGAAUAUUGGUCAAUGGACGAGAGUCUGAACCAGCCAAGUAGCGUGAAGGAUGACUGCCCUAUGGGUUGUAAACUUCUUUUAUAUGGGAAUAAAAUGUUCCACGUGUGGGAUUUUGUAUGUACCAUAUGAAUAAGGAUCGGCUAACUCCGUGCCAGCAGCCGCGGUAAUACGGAGGAUCCGAGCGUUAUCCGGAUUUAUUGGGUUUAACGGGAGCGUAGGUGGAUUGUUAAGUCAGUUGUGAAAGUUUGCGGCUCAACCGGAAAAUUGCAGUUGAAACUGGCAGUCUUGAGUACAGUAGAGGUGAGCGGAAGUCGUGGUGUAGCGGUGAAAUGCUUAGAUAUCACGAAGAACUCCGAUUGCGAAGGCAGUUCACUGGACUGCAACUGACGCUGAGGCUCGAAAGUGUGGGUAUCAAACAGGAUUAGAUACCCUAGUAGUC
rnacentral:rRNA from 1 species